rnacentral:rRNA from 1 species
GAUGAACGCUGGCGGCGUGCCUAAUACAUGCAAGUCGAACGCAUUGAGAGAAGUGCUUGCACUUUUCAAUUUGAGUGGCGAACGGGUGAGUAACACGUGGCAACCUACCUGAUAGCGGGGGAUAACGAGUGGAAACAUUCGCUAAUACCGCAUAACAAUAGAGAAGGCAUCUUCUUUAUUUAAAAGGCGCUUUCAAGCGUCACUAUCAGAUGGGCCCGCGGUGCAUUAGUUAGUUGGUGGGGUGAAGGCCUACCAAGACGAUGAUGCAUAGCCGAGUGGAGAGACUGCUCGGCCACAUUGGGACUGAGACACGGCCCAAACUCCUACGGGAGGCUGCAGUAGGGAAUCUUCCACAAGGGACGAAAGUCUGAUGGAGCAACGCCGCGUGUGUGAUGAAGGCUUUCGGGUCGUAAAGCACUGUUGUAUGGGAAGAAAUGCUAGGCUAGGAAAUGAGCUUAGUUUGACGGUACCAUACCAGAAAGGGACGGCUAAAUACGUGCCAGCCGCCGCCGUAA